rnacentral:lncRNA from 10 species
CUUUCCCCUCAGUAGACAGCUUUGCAGGCUGUUCUUGUGUUUGCAGUCCCUGUGUAUAGCCUUCUCAAAAUACAAACGGCAUAUUUUGAGGCGAGUGCUGACCUCACCUUGCAAAGCUCUCUGAAGUGUCUGAGCAGAGGGUCCACUCCUCCCCGGCAUACCUUUGCAGCAAUAUCCUGGCAGAUACUUUAUGUCAUGUUGCCAUGAACUGCAUUGUUCUGCCCCAAGCCCCAGGCUACUGGAAAAAAUGGUUGAAGACCUGAAAACUGUGACCCCUGUUGCCUAGCAACUGAGAAGCUCAGCCUCAACUCCGGGUGGGGGAGAUGAUGGAGAAAGGUACUGCAUUUUGAUAAAUUGAAGGUUUGUGGAACGCUGCAUUGAGCAAGUCUAUUGGUACCAUUUUCCAACAGCAUGUGCUCACUUCAUGUCUCUGUGCCACAUUUGCAAUGCUUCUCCAGCUCGAGAGCACAUCAUCACCUGGAGAGCUCAUGAAAACAGAUUGCUGGGCUUCAUCCUCGAGUUUCUGAUUCAGUAGGGCAGGGUGGGGACUAAGAAUAUUCAUUUCUAAUGAGUUCCAGUGGUGCUGAUGUUUCCAGUCCAGGGAUCACCGGUGGAGACCCAUUAGUCUAUGCCAUCCUAGUCCCACCCGCCUGACACCUCAUGCUCACCAGAAGGACACCUUGGGCUGACCAGAGAGGAGGGUUUCUGUGUGAGAAGGUUUUUGCAAUCUCCAGGAACGCCAGGCCACAUGAUUGAAACAGUUGUUCAAUUUUUCUUGCUGAAGAUGGUGAACUGGGUUAAGUUUAGAAACAACCAUAGCUGGAAAAAGUAUGACUUUGUUAGCUGCUUACUUCCUUUUCAGAGAAAAAAUACUUUUCUAGUUUCUUUCUUUAGUUACAAAAAUAAUAUGUGCUAAUUAUAACAAGCCAAUCAAUGGAGAGGCCUGCGGAUAUGAAGUUCAUAGUCAUUCAUUCACUCUUCUGCAGAGUGGCUCCCCAAGGCAGCCAACAUUGACAAGCAGGCUUGUGUGUUUCCACACUGUCUCUUGAGCGAGGCUUAUUUAGUCUACACUUGCCUCCUUUAAAGCUGUUCACAAGCAGAUGAGGAUCAAUCUCGGAUUCUAGAAGGAAGAACCCAGCCCCUACUGUUAGAAGGAGCAGUGAAGGCGGCAGGUCAAAGCACAGCCUGGAGCCGACUGUCUGUGUCCAAAUCCCACUUCACCACUUGCUGCAUAACUGGAGCAGAUGAUUCAGCUUUUCUCUGCCUUAACUGACUCAUGUAAAUGGGGAUAUUAAAAUAUCACAUAUGGAUUAUUAUAUUGACUAGGAAGUUAAUGCAAUACAGCAUGCAUAGCAGUUAGUAAGCACUCAAUAAAUGGUAGAUAUUAUUAUUUUCUCUCUUGUGGGAGCAACAAAAGUGAAAAGAAUGACCCUUUGGUAACUGGGGAUCUGAGUAUACACAGACUGUACCAAUCAUAACCACAAUCACCAAAAAAACUACAUUUGUGGAGGCUUAGUGUUAACACAGUCCCAAAACACUUCAUCUAUUGAUUCCCUUAUAUGGCUAGAAUUUAACAUUAAUUCUUUUUUCAUUUUUCAGGAAUAAUAAAGAACAUCAAUAAAAUUAUAGGCAUAAUUUUUAAACAAUUUUAUUGAAGAAUAAUUAUAUGUAAUAAAAUUCACUGGCCGGGUGCAGUGGCUCAUGCCUGUAAUCUCACCACUUUGGGAGGCCAAGGCGGGGGGAUUACUUGAGGCCAAAGUUUAAGACCAGCUUGGGCAAAAAAGCAAAAGCCUGUCUUUACUCUCUCUCUCUCUCUCUCUCUCCAUAUAUAUAUAUAUAUAUAUAUAUAUAUAUAUAUAUAUAUAUAUAUUUUUUUUUUUUUUUUUUUUUUUUUUUUUUAAAUAGCCAGGUGUAGUGGUGUGCGCCUCAAGUCCCAGCUACUUUCAAGGGGCUGAGGUAAGAGGAUUGCUUGAGCCCAGUAGUUGCAGGCUGCAAUGAGCUAUGAUCCCACCACUGUACUCCAGCCUGGGUGACAGAGUGAGACCUUGUCUCUAAAAAUAAAUAAAUAAGUAAAUACAAAUUUUUAAAAAUAAAAAUUCAUCCAUUUUAAGAAUACAAUUAAAUAAGUUUUAGUAAAUUUACCAAGCUGUGCAACCAUCACCACAACCCAGUUUCAGAACAUUUACAUCACCCUUGGAAGCUCCCUCAUGCCUGUUUACAGUUAACCCCAGUUCCUAUCCCCAGCUCUGGGCACCAUUAAUCUACUACUCUCUGUCUCUAUGACUUUGCUUUUUCUGGACACUUCAUAUAAAUGGAUUAUGCAGUAUGUGGCCUUUUGUAUCUGACUUAUUUCGUUAACAUAAUGUUUUAAAGAUCCAUCUACACUGAAGUACGUAUCAGUAUGUGUUCCUUUGUACUGAGGAACUGUAUUCCACUGUAUGGAUAUACCACAGUUUGUUCAUCCAUUCGACAAUGGAUGGACAGUUGGUUGUGUCCACUUUUUAGCUAUUAUGAAUAAUGUCACUAUGAACAUUUGUGUACAAGUUUUUGGGUGGACUUACGUUUUUAUUUCUCUUGGGUAGAUACAUAGAAGUGAAUAUAGUACAUUUAUAUUUAACUUUUUGAAACUAUUAAACUGUUUUCUACAGUGAUCGCACCAUUUUAUAUUCCCACCAGCAAUGUGUGAAGGUUCUACAGGUCUAAACUUAAAGGUCAAAAUAGAAAGAAGAUCUAAAAAUACAUGAAUUCAAGUGCUGAAUGUCCGUUCUCUGACACUGGUUAUCUUCUAAACUCCCCUUUAAUGAAAGGACAGGGAGAAUCCUUCCCCUGCCUUCCCCAGAUUCUCAUUUCCCAUAUUUUGCUGUUUGGCUAAGUGGGGGCUCCCUCACCUCAUUUAGUCCUGCUAAUUCAGGGAAAGCAACCCUGUGCUCCUCCACUCCUAGCAACCCUAAGAGGCUAUCUAAAGUGGAAAGAACAUUUUACAAAUGCAAAUUCAGUCCUUGGGUAUGGCAAGAGAAGAGUUAAUGCAGUUUGUAAUAAUUAUUGACUACAAGAACUGCAAAUGAUUGCAUAAAAUUUCUAAAAUAUGCCUGCAAGGUUCUCUUAUUGAUGUGUUGCCCCCAGGGGUACACAUAUGGGUUUAAGUGUCUAAACUGUUUUAUUAAUUAAAUUGCUAUGAUUUACCUCUCCCAUGUUAGCAUUUACAGUUUAUGAAACAGCCCUGUAAUUAGAAAAUGAUGUACUAGUGUUGCUUGUUUACUUUGUGGGUGAAAUAUUAUACACACACAGAUGUGUAUGUGUAUAUAUAUACACUCACUUAUAUAUGUUUAUAGACACACACAUGUGCACGCGCGCACACACACACACAAAGUGUUUUUUCUUGGGUCAACCCUCAUAGGCUACUUUAUUUCUAGUCCAAUUAAUAGGCAACCUCCAGUGGUGCAUUAAAUUGGUUUUUAGCGGGAGGGGGAGGAUAACUGAGAAGUUCAUUGUUCCUGCUGAGGUGUGUCAUGGCAUCCAUGUAUGUUUGUUUAUUUUCCCUCCAUAGACAGACAAUUGAAAUCACAAGAAUUUAUUGUAAAAAAAAAAAUCUGUUGAGAACAGCCCUGAGGAUACUUCAGCAAAUCCUAAAACUGUACCUACUUUAAUUAUACAGCAUCUUAUUAUCUUCUGCGUCCAUUCUGAAGGUAUAUGUAGGAAUAUAUAAUAUAAAUUACCUGUGCUACAUAGACAAUGCCUAAAUAAAGUUGUUGUUGAAGUGCUU